rnacentral:tRNA from 1 species
GUGUUGAUAGCUCAGUUGGUUAGAGCAUUGGAUUGUGGUUCCAAGGGUCGUGGGUUCGAAUCCCAUUCUACACCCCA